rnacentral:rRNA from 1 species
AGCGUAGGUGGCCUAACAUGUCAACUGUGAAAACCCGGAGCUCAACUCCGGACUUGCAGUUGAAACUGGUAGGCUUGAGGACGGUAGAGGAAGACGGAACUGCCAGUGUAGGGGUAAAAUCCUUAGAUAUUGGCAGGAACGCCGGUGACGAAGGUGGUUUUCUAAGCCGGUUCUGACACUGAUGCUCGAAAGCCAGGGGAGCGAACG